rnacentral:rRNA from 1 species
GAUGAACGCUGGCGGCGUGCCUAAUACAUGCAAGUCGAGCGAACAGACGAGGAGCUUGCUCCUUUGACGUUAGCGGCGGACGGGUGAGUAACACGUGGAUAACCUACCUAUAAGACUGGGAUAACUUCGGGAAACCGGAGCUAAUACCGGAUAACAUGUUGAACCGCAUGGUUCAACAGUGAAAGACGGUCUUGCUGUCACUUAUAGAUGGAUCCGCGCCGCAUUAGCUAGUUGGUAAGGUAACGGCUUACUAAGGCAACGAUGCGUAGCCGACCUGAGAGGGUGAUCGGCCACACUGGAACUGAGACACGGUCCAGACUCCUACGGGAGGCAGCAGUAGGGAAUCUUCCGCAAUGGGCGAAAGCCUGACGGAGCAACGCCGCGUGAGUGAAGAAGGUCUUCGGAUCGUAAAACUCUGUUAUUAGGGAAGAACAAAUGUGUAAGUAACUAUGCACGUCUUGACGGUACCUAAUCAGAAAGCCACGGCUAACUACGUG